UGGGGAAUAUUGGACAAUGGGCGAAAGCCUGAUCCAGCCAUGCCGCGUGUGUGAAGAAGGUCUUCGGAUUGUAAAGCACUUUAAGUUGGGAGGAAGGGCAGUAAGCGAAUACCUUGCUGUUUUGACGUUACCGACAGAAUAAGCACCGGCUAACUCUGUGCCAGCAGCCGCGGUAAUACAGAGGGUGCAAGCGUUAAUCGGAAUUACUGGGCGUAAAGCGCGCGUAGGUGGUUCGUUAAGUUGAAUGUGAAAGCCCCGGGCUCAACCUGGGAACUGCAUCCAAAACUGGCGAGCUAGAGUAGGGCAGAGGGUGGUGUAAUUUCCUGUGUAGCGGUGAAAUGCGUAGAUAUAGGAAGGAACACCAGUGGCGAAGGCGACCACCUGGGCUCAUACUGACACUGAGGUGCGAAAGCGUGGGGAGCAAACAGG
rnacentral:rRNA from 1 species